rnacentral:rRNA from 1 species
UAAUACGGGGGGGGCAAGCGUUGUUCGGAAUUACUGGGCGUAAAGGGCUCGUAGGCGGCCAUCCAAGUCGGACGUGAAAUCCCCAGGCUCAACCUGGGAACUGCGUUCGAUACUGGUUGGCUUGAAUCCGGGAGAGGGAUGCGGAAUUCCAGGUGUAGCGGUGAAAUGCGUAGAUAUCUGGAGGAACACCGGUGGCGAAGGCGGCAUCCUGGACCGGUAUUGACGCUGAGGAGCGAAAGCCAGGGGAGCGAACGGGAUUAGAUACCCCGGUAGUCCUGGCCCUAAACGAUGAAUGCUUGGUGUGGCGGGUAUCGAUCCCUGCCGUGCCGGAGCUAACGCGUUAAGCAUUCCGCCUGGGGAGUACGGUCGCAAGGCUG